rnacentral:lncRNA from 1 species
UUUAAACCAAACAUACCUUUAAUCAUAUCACAUCUCCAAGGGCAAAUUAUCAAACGUUGGAUAAGAAGCGGGCCAGAGGGAGAAUCAUACAUAACGGCUAGCCCAGCUAGAAGAAUAAAAAAAUACAUAAAUAUUAAAACUAAUGUCCAAAACGAACCCAACCCAAGAUUCAUACAUAUAUAUAGCGAACGAGUCGUCACCAUUUAGCAAGACUCAAUACUCUCUCUCUCUUGUAUUCUUUCUUUCUAGAAACAAUAAAAACACAGAAAAAAUCUGAAUUUGGAAAAAGGUUGGUGCAUCGGACAAGUUUCUGAGUUGAAUCAGUUCCGCCCGUGAACCAAAAAAGAUAUCUCUUACCACAAAACUCACCUUUUCUUCCAUGACCAUCAAAACUCUCUCACUUUCACUCCGCAUACAACGGUUCUGAUUUGCCUCCAGUUCCCCACACAGAGAGAAGAGUGAAAAUCGCGAAUGGGGACUCUCUGUUUCCCUCUAUUUGCGAUCAUCGC